ensembl:lncRNA
ACAGGCAGUAGAUGCAGCACAGACAGACAGCAGAUGCAGCACAGACAGACAGACAGACAGUAGAUGCAGCACAGACAGACAGACAGACAGUAGAUGCAGCACAGACAGACAGGCAGUAGAUGCAGCACAGACAGACAGACAGACAGACAGACAGACAGACAGUAGAUGCAGCACAGACAGACAGACAGACAGUAGAUGCAGCACAGACAGACAGGCAGUAGAUGCAGCACAGACAGACAGACAGACAGACAGUAGAUGCAGCACAGACAGACAGACAGACAGAUGCAGCACAGACAGACAGACAGACAGUAGAUGCAGCACAGACAGACAGACAGACAGUAGAUGCAGCACAGACAGACAGACAGACAAUGCAGCACAGACAGACAGAUGCAGCACAAACAGACAAACAGACAGAGAGACAGUAGAUGCAGCACAGACAGACAGACAGUAGAUGCAGCACAGACAGACAGACAGACAGUAGAUGCAGCACAGACAGACAGACUGUAGAUGCAGCACAGACAGACAGACAGACAGACAGUAGAUGCAGCACAGACAGACAGACAGACAGUAGAUGCAGCACAGACAGACAGACAGUAGAUGCAGCACAGACAGACAGUAGAUGCAGCACAGACAGACAGACAGACAGUAGAUGCAGCACAGACAGACAGUAGAUGCAGCACAGACAGACAGUAGAUGCAGCACAGACAGACAGACAGACAGACAGACUGUAGAUGCAGCACAUACAGACAGACAGACAGACAGAUGCAGCACAGACAGACAGAUGCAGCACAGACAGACAGACAGUAGAUGCAGCACAGACAGACAGACAGUAGAUGCAGCACAGACAGAAAGUAGAUGCAGCACAGACAGACAGACAGACAGUAGAUGCAGCACAGACAGACAGACAGACAGUAGAUGCAGCACAGACAGACAGACAGACAGUAGAUGCAGCACAGACAGACAGACAGACAGACAGACAGACAGUAGAUGCAGCACAGACAGACAGACAGUAGAUGCAGCACAGACAGACAGACAGACAGACAG